AUCAUGUUCACUGUUAUAUUCCUGUGUCUGUGGCUUUCACUGAGUGACUCCAUGGCAGAUUCAAUAGAGCCACUUUUCACUCAGAAAGUUGUUGAUGAAGGUGAUGAUGUUACUCUGUCCUGCAGCUACAAAUUCAGUGUUUCAGGAAGCAACUACCUGCAGUGGUACAGGCAAUAUCCAAAAUCUAAACCCAAGUUCCUUCUUUAUAUUUCUCCAACUGGACUUCGAAGUCCUGACCUCCCCCCACGAAUGACUGCUAAAGUUCAGGAAAAUAACCAAGUGGAUCUGCUCAUCUCCUCUGCUGCUGUAUCAGACUCUGCACUAUACUACUGUGCUCUGGAGCCCACAGUGACAGGAAAUCCAACUGCACUGUACAAAAACCUUCACAGUUUUAUUCCUUUGAAAGCAUGUUGCCAGGAGACGCUUCAGAUCCACCACAACCCUGGACAGGAUAAAGCAGUUCCUGAAGAUAAAUGGAUGUUUUGGAACUCAGUUGUGGAAAUGUGA